rnacentral:rRNA from 1 species
AUGGUCAUUGGUGAUCUAAAUGAAAUCCUCUAUGGAUCAGAAAAAGAUGGUGGCAAUCCUAGACCAGGGCGUAUGAUGCAAGCUUUUAGGGAUUGCCUGUUUGACUGCUCUUUGAUUGACAUGGAAUUUAUAGGUGACAAAUUCACGUGGAGACGUGGUGAGAUCCGAGAAAGACUAGAUCGGGCUGUUUGUAAUGAGGCUUGGUCAGAGAAGUUUCCAUUAGCAGUGCUAUCACUACAAAAAAAAAUACACUUCCGUGAUGAUACGUGUUUGUCACAGUAG